rnacentral:rRNA from 1 species
UUGCCUACGGGACGCAGCAGUGAGGAAUAUUGGUCAAUGGUCGGGAGACUGAACCAGCCAAGCCGCGUGAGGGAGGAAGGUACAGAGUAUCGUAAACCUCUUUUGUCAGGGAACAAAGGCGGGGACGUGUCCCCGGAUGAGUGUACCUGAAGAAAAAGCAUCGGCUAACUCCGUGCCAGCAGCCGCGGUAAUACGGAGGAUGCGAGCGUUAUCCGGAUUUAUUGGGUUUAAAGGGUGCGCAGGCGGGCUGUUAAGUCAGCGGUCAAAGCCCGGGGGUUAACCCCGGCCCG